CCUACGGGCGGCAGCAGUCGAGAAUCUUUCACAAUGGGGGCAACCCUGAUGGAGCGACGCCGCGUGGAGGAUAAGGUCUUCGGAUUGUAAACUCCUGUCAUGCGAGAACAAGGUUGCAGGGCUAACACCUUUGCAAAUUGAUGGUACCGCAAGAGGAAGAGACGGCUAACUCUGUGCCAGCAGCAGCGGUAAUACAGAGGUCUCAAGCGUUGUUCGAAAUCACUGGGCGUAAGCGGUGCAUGUGUGGCGUGAAAGCCCGGGGCUCAACAUCGGAAUGGCAUCCGAUACUGCCAUGCUGGAGUACGGAAGAGGUGACUAGAAUUCUAGGUGUAGCAGUGAAAUGCGUAGAUAUCUAGAGGAAUACCAACGGCGAAGGCAGGUCACUGGGCAGUUACUGACACUGAGGCACGAAGGCCAGGGGAGCAAACGGGAUUAGAUACCCGUGUAGUC
rnacentral:rRNA from 1 species